GCCUGACUAGCUCAGUUGGUAAAGUAUGAGACUUUUAAUCUUUGGGUUAUGGGUUCGAGCCCCAUGUUGGGUG